CCCCCCAGCCUCCCGCGGCCUCCCAGGGUCGUGGCCACUCGACCCGGGCGCACGCCGGGAGCCCAGAGCCUCCUCGGCUCCGCUCCACUCCUGGAGCCAGGGCCGCCUAGACGGCCGGAGGAUGCGCCCUGAAUUUGGGGCUCACUGGCUGCCACGGGGCCGUUGUCCCGGGCGCCGAUCAGCUCCCUCCCCGGGGACACGGGCGCGAAAGCGGAGGGGCGCCCGGGUGACUCGGGGGCGCAGCCGGAGCGCAAAAGGCGACAAGCUUCAGCCGACUCCACCGGCUCCGCUGGAGCGAGAAGCUGAGGACCGGACUUUGUGUGGAGAACGUUUCGGGAUGGGUCGGUGGGCUUCUCCGCAGGGCCGCCCCAUCACCCUUGGGCGCCCUCUUAGGUCAAGAUCAUUCAAGGUUCGUUGAGGCCUUGGGGUAAGCUGGCGUUGACUGCUCAUCCGGAGCCACCAAGAGCUGGGCCUGCAUUGCCAGCUGCUUGGGGAAGGGACCGCUUCUGGGGCAGUGGAGGAUUCCCGAACAGACCUGGGUACAGGCCUCCGUGAAGGAGCCACCAAAUGGCUGGCAAUUGUGCCCAAAUCCAUGGAGCUUCCUCUUUCUAACCAGGAGGUGACUAAGUCUCUCCAAUGUCCAAACCCAUUUUGACUAUUCCCCUACCCCCAAAGGAACAGUAAGAAGAACCAGGACAUUUCAGACGUCUCUGAAAAGAGAAAGUGGUCUCUCUUCUUUCUUUGGCCAACAAGUUUCACUUACUUAAUCUUUUGUGCUGCUAGAUGGCCGGUGUAGCUACUGGAAAGGAUGCACAAAGCUAAGGUCCUAGCAGAGCACAGGAGAGAGAGGGCAGUUCUACCCCUUGUGCGGGUGUAAUCCUGUAGUCCCAGUUGUUCAGAGAUUAAAGCAGGAGGAUCCUGCUGCAAGUUCGAGGCCAGCCUAGGCAAUUUAGUGAGACAUGUUCUCAAAAGGAAAAGGGGAGAAAUGGGCUGAGGAUGUAGGGAUGGGUGUAGAGAAUUUGCCUAUUGUGCAAGAGGCCCUGGGUUCAAACCGAGUCCCAUGGAAACAGAAAGGAUGUCUAUCUCCCUUUAAGGGAGCUGGAUGGGGGAGGGAACACCGAGGCAGGCAAUCUGGUCUGAGCCGCACCCUGGGAAACUGACAGUAGAUUGGCCCAGGACCGGUUUAGGAACCAAGGGGUUUAUCCUGGGCAAACCCUGUGUAAGUGAGCAGGUUCAAGGCUCACGGCUCUGUGGAGCAGGGUCUGAAGCGUCUUCCUGCCAUGUUCGCAGAGUAAGUUCCUCCACAAGGCACUUUCUGCUCUGGUUUAGUGCUGAUCGAUCACCAUACACUGACAACUCAGUCCCUAGAGUGGCUGCCUCUUGCUGCAACCUCAAGAUUCAGAACUAUUGUCCCUUUGUACAAAUGAGGUGACCAAUCGGAACAAAGCUGGUAAAUGGCAGGUCUUCAAGAACCCCCGACGGACACGAUAUUGAGUGUGGUGGUUGGCGUCUGCAGCAGAACAUGAAAUAUUUCGUUUUUGAAAAUUCAGAUCGAGGGGUUAGAAAGAUGCCUCAGUAAGAGCACCUGCUGCUGCUCUUGCAGGGGACUGGAGUUGGGUUCCCAGCACUCAUGUGUGUGUGUGUGUGUGUGUGUGUGUGUGUGUGUGUGUGUGUGUAUGUGUGUUUGUGUGUGUAUGUGUGUGUGUUUGUAUGUGUGUUUGUGUGUGUAUGUGUGUUUGUGUGUGUAUAUGUGUGUAUGUGUGUGUAUGUGUGUGUGUGUGUGUGUGUGUGUGUGUGUGUGUGUGUGUGUGUGUGUGUGUUGGAGUUGGCUGGGCUUCUUACUCCAGCUUCAGGGAGUCUGAUGCCCCCUUCUGACUUCCAGGGGUACCUUCACACACAUGGCAUACACACAAAUAAAAAUAAAAAUCUUAAAAAACAAAAAA
rnacentral:lncRNA from 1 species